UACAGCUGACCCUGCAGAUCAUCAGAGUUCAAAGGUUAGCUCCAGGUCCAUUUAGUCUACAGACAUGUAGCUGUAACCUACGCUUCUAGAGGAGAGCUGAAGGAAGCGAAUGGGCUGAGGAUCCUGAAACAGCUGCAACUCCUCAAUGAUUCGCCCUCCAUCAUUAUCAGACCACACCACCUUCUGCAGCCAACCA